rnacentral:rRNA from 1 species
UGAACGCUGGCGGUGCGUUUAAUACAUGCAAGUCGAACGAGAUCUUUGAAGAGUUUACUUUUUAAAGUGACAGUGGCGGACGAGCGAGUAACACGUAAGUAGUUGCCCUGUACUCGGGGACAACCAGUCGAAAGAUUGGCUAAUACCGGAUGGUCUCGAAAGAGUAAAGAUUUAUCGGUACAGGAGACGCUUGCGGCCUAUCAGCUUGUUGGUGAGGUAAAGGCUUACCAAGGCUAUGACGGGUAUCUGGUGUGAGAGCACGACCAGACGCGAUGGGACUGAGACACGGCCCAUACUCCUACGGGAGGCAGCAGUAAAGAAUCUUCCGCAAUGGACGAAAGUCUGACGGAGCGACACCGCGUGGUGGAUGAAGCUUUUCGGAGUGUAAACACCUUUUAUGAGGGAAGAAAAUCUGACGGUACCUCAUGAAUAAGGACCGGCUAAUUAC